ACCCUUUUGAUUUUUUUCCCCCAACCACUUAAAAAUGUAAAACCCAUGCUUGACUCGAGGUGUCCAUAUCUUGGCUCACAGGCUGAGUCUGCAACAAAUGAGUCACCCCAGAGCCCUUGGAAAGCUGCUCCAAGUCCAGUGCCAGAUGAAAACAGGAAGCGUGAGGGGCUGACGUCUGGAUCGAGCCAUCAUCCUCCAAGAAGAACAGCUACCUGAACAGGAAGGAUGACAUGACGAAAAGUGUGAUGGAAGAUGCCUGACAUAUGAGAGGUGUCCGAUAACUGCUAGCCAACACUUGGAUUCUCUCCCCCACGGAGUGGAGGCCAGGACACUUCCCGGGACGGAAGCAGCUCGCUCCAUCUUCUAACACUUCUGACCGCUGGAAAAGCUCGUUCCUUCCGUUGAGCUGAAAACUCGCUGGCUGUGGCUUGCAUUCCCUGUCCCACUUCCAGCCCCUGAGAGCAGGCAACAACCCGCUCCCUCGCUUCCCCAGUCAAGACAGCCCGUUUCCUUCAAGUUGUGAUCCUGAGUCCUCUCGCCAUUCUGGCCACCCUCGUUAGAAUUAACAAACAUCCUACACACUUGAACUGUAGGUGAAGAUAAGAGUCUGGGUCACCCACUCUGGCCGUGGGUGAGGAAGGCCAAACAUUGGUUAAGAGAUUCGAUGGUUGGGCGCCUG